NNCGACCUCGGAUCAGUCACGGCCACCCGCUGAAUUUAAGCAUAUUAAUAAGCGGAGGAAGAGAAACCAACCGGGAUACCCCCAGUAAUGGCGAAUGAAGAGGGUAGAGCUCAAACCGAAUCCGUCGUCCCGCGGCGGCGGCAGUCGGGGCCCCCGGUCCCGGAGGUCGUCGUCGCCCCCGAGUGGGCGGCCGAGCUGUGGUUUGCAGACUGGCGUUCGCGGCGAGCCCGGCGGCCAAGUGUGUUGGAACACUCCGCCCUAGAGGGUGAGAGCCCCGUUGUUUGCCGGCGCGAGCCCGGACCGUCCGCCAGUCCCAGAGUCGGGUUGCUUGAGAGUGCAGCCUCCAAAGGGUGGUAGGUCCCAUCCAAAGCUAAAUACGGCGGGGAGACCGAUAGUACAAAAGUACUGUGAAGGAAANN
rnacentral:rRNA from 1 species